rnacentral:rRNA from 1 species
CGGGGAAUCUUAGACAAUGGGGGAAACCCUGAUCUAGCCAUGCCGCGUGAGCGAUGAAGGCCUUAGGGUUGUAAAGCUCUUUCAGCUGGGAAGAUAAUGACGGUACCAGCAGAAGAAGCCCCGGCUAACUCCGUGCCAGCAGCCGCGGUAAUACGGAGGGGGCUAGCGUUGUUCGGAAUUACUGGGCGUAAAGCGCGCGUAGGCGGACCAGAAAGUUGGAGGUGAAAUCCCAGGGCUCAACCUUGGAACUGCCUUCAAAACUCCUGGUCUGGAGUUCGAGAGAGGUGAGUGGAAUUCCGAGUGUAGAGGUGAAAUUCGUAGAUAUUCGGAGGAACACCAGUGGCGAAGGCGGCUCACUGGCUCGAUACUGACGCUGAGGUGCGAAAGCGUGGGGAGCAAACAG